rnacentral:rRNA from 1 species
UACGGAGGGUGCGAGCGUUAAUCGGAAUUACUGGGCGUAAAGCGCGCGUAGGUGGUUUGAUAAGCUAGCUGUGAAAGCCCCGGGCUCAACCUGGGAACUGCAGUUAGAACUGUCUGACUAGAGUACAGUAGAGGGUGGCGGAAUUUCCUGUGUAGCGGUGAAAUGCGUAGAUAUAGGAAGGAACAUCAGUGGCGAAGGCGGCCACCUGGACUGAUACUGACACUGAGGUGCGAAAGCGU